CGCUGUUGUCGUCUGACUGUGAGUGACUGAUCUUCUUCUCCUGUCGUUUCUCCUGAACUCCUGAAAAAUACCUCAAAAGACUACAAUAUUCAUAGAUCUACUAGAUCAUCUGAGGGAUUUGACUGAAUCAAGAUGCUGCUGAUCACUGAAGCUCUUCUCAUUUCAGCUGCUCUAGGACAGGACCACAGAGCUGCUGUUGAAGGACAGACAUUUCCAUUGGAUAUGGCACUGAAUUCAGUUGAUGACUAAUAUGAAGGUUGUAGAGAGAAAAUGAAGAAUCUGGUGGAGACAAAAUAUCUAAAUAAGGAAAAAUCUUUAAGAAACUUUAAAACGGCUCAGCGACCAGAAGAUAACUUGGAAAGUAAUCAUUUAAUUGCCAUUAGAGCGUACACUAGUAAUACAUUAUAUAAUACUUUCAAUAAUGCUGUUCGUACAGGUAAAGAAAAAUAUGCAGACAAGACAUACGAAUGGUAUUCACUUUACUUUCUGUUAACAGACGCAAUACAGAUUCUGAAUAAAACACAAAUAGUAUGCUUUAAGACUUAUUGAGGUACAAAUGUUACAUUUAAGUGGACACCGAACACAGAGGUUCGUUUUGGCUCAUUUGCAUCUUCUUCUCUUAAUCGUAGAGUUGCAGAGCGUUUUGGAAAUAAAUUUUGUUUUGAAAUCUACACUUGUGAAGGUGCUAAUGUGACAAAAUACUCUGGCGUUGUAUUGUAUCUCUGCAAAUACAGUUUAAUUUAUACUGACAUUUUGCAAUUUGAAUCGAUCUGUAAAAGUGAUGUACUCUACCAGUAAAUCAAACAUCACACUACUGUUAUAAGGCUAUCUCUGCAAGGUAUCUCUGCAAGGCAAUUUUACUUCCAACAUUUGUUUCUCUUAAUAACACAUGGCUCACUUCCAUCACUGUUCGUUGUAUCAU